rnacentral:rRNA from 1 species
AGGCGAUGAAGGACGUGAUAAGCUGCGAUAAGCUGCGGGUAGGUGCAAAUGACCUUUGAUCCGCGGAUUUCCGAAUGGGACAACCCGGUACUUUGAAGAGGUACCAUUCCACAAUGUGGAAGGCUAACGCAGGGAACUGAAACAUCUUAGUACCUGCAGGAAAAGAAAAUAAACAAUGAUUCCCCCAGUAGUGGCGAGCGAACGGGGAACAGCCCAAACCACCCAUGUUACGGCAUGGGUGGGGUUGUAGGACCACGCCGUGGCAAGAAAGUUGGUGAGCAGAAUGUUCUGGAAAGUACAGCCAUAGAGCAUGACAGCUGC